rnacentral:lncRNA from 1 species
UCUUUAUAUUUUGACAUGACAGUAGAAAUUAUGAUUUUAAUAAUGACGAUUAAUGUCUGCAUGCGAUAGUAUAAGCAUUAACUUUGAAGGAGUUGCGUAACAAUCACAUAUUCAUCAGUGUGGGAUAAUUGCAUAACAAUCACAUUCACGUUAUUUUUGCUCAUAUGGAAGAAUAAACCAACUAUUACUGAAACAAGUAAUAAGAUAACAUAGUACAUAAUUACAAAGUAGUGAUAGAAGGUGAGUAUUAAAAUAACUAAACACAUCUAAGAGCAGUGCUUGUUGACUAAAUGGACAAACUGGUCAGUAAACAUCUCAAGAGUAGAUUGUGGAGGAAUUUUUCCUGUGUAUGUAAGCGUGACGGCGUUCGAAGCAGUAGCGUUGCCUGUAUUUGGAGAAACCGCAAGAAAAAGUAUGUUGCUGUAAUCGGCGGAUAGCUCUGCGAUCUUAGCGAUGAAGUUGCAAUGUUGAUUUUCUAUCUUUUUCAAGCGUUUCAUAUGAGCGACACAUGUGUCCUCAAAAAUCCAUGCCCAAGACAUAGUUGAUUCCUUCUCUUUCUGAGUCUUCAAUAGAUUGGCAUGGUUGUGAUCAACUAAAGUUAAUUUUCCUUCGCUUGCGAUAUUGUGAAUGGCAUCGUCGUAGCCUGAUUCUAUUGCUCCGCCUACGGUAUCUAUGAAAUCGCUGUAGUAGGUUGUUUUCUUAUUACGCGGAGGAGGUGUUCGCUGCGUUGGCAUAAUAGUAAUGGAGGUAGUAAAGAUAGAAUGAUUCAUUUCUCUCACAGCUGUUCUAGAUACAUAAAAGCCUAGGUCUUGCGCAAUUUGAUUGAAAAAUAGCUUCUUUGGUAUCUAAACAGACGACAUAGUUCUGCAACAUUUAAAAUAGUUCCUCAGCUUUCAUGUUGGAGUAGUAGAGAUUUGAUGCGUUGUACAAAAGAAAAAAAUGAUUUAAACAAUGGAAAGUUCAUACUUGCGGUUUUAGUUGCAAUAUCACCUUUGUGUUUACUUCGUUGUGAAAGUGAUUACCAUAUGGAAAGAUCGUAGCUUGAAGAGAUAGAAGUACUUGCAUCUUGGAUAGCUAUUUAUAUAAGAUAUUCCUAGUUACAAACACCUAUAGGCAAAGGUGGACACAUAUGAAAUUCGUGGCAGCUAAUCUUCUUGUCGUGCAUUCAUUGUGUCAUGCAAGUGUUGCGCAUGAAAGUUGUGUUUAUCCAUGUGUCUAUGUCUUGUAUAUGUGCGAUAUCCUCCAAUCGACAACGUGGUUCCACGUAUUGGGCUGGGAUCGGCCCAUUCAUUCCGAAAAGCCCAGUAGUUGGUGUAGCAAAGAAACACGAGGUCACCAGUAGCUUCCACUACGAGCGCGUGACUUCCAGCGUCUUCUUUCAUUUGCUUGGGUAUUCACUCCAUGCGAAAUCUAGCAUUGAUGGCACUUAACAUCUUCAAAACCUAUGUCAAGAAAUGGAGCGUCGAUCUGAACAGCACGCGAAGGGCAGGCGCGCAUCGAUAGUCAAUAAGAGAGAGGAAGUUGGUUGGUAUGCAGUGAAUAGUUAAAAGUUAUCUAAUGAUGCUUGUUGAAUUUGAUUCGACUAACUGAUCCAUGUUUCUUUUCGAACAAAUCGGAGUAAGGAGGACAGGAAGGAAAGGUACGUGGGUCUCUUUCGAUUCUCGCAGUAAAGUGAAACAUUCGCUGGAACUGUGGUAGGAUUAUCGCUGGAACCUAAGUAAUUCAUAGGUUAGUUCAUCAGUAUUUAGUCUCUGCAUACAAAGAUAGGAAUAGAUCUAUAUAGUUUUGCUUACUCUAUAGAAAUGGACAUGAAUAUUCACUACAAAGAAAUGGAAAAGCAGUUGACUAAGUAGGAAACACUACUUGAACUCAAAGGGUCAUAGAUAUAUAAAGUUCUCCCAUAGAUUAGGUGUAUAAAUAAUUGGGGAUUGUAAAUCAUGACCACACUUUUUGUGAAACUUAACAUGGUUAUAGUACGUUGAUGUUGUCAAUAUGUUGUUGAUGUCAAAUAACUAUGUAUUCGCUGUUAUGUUACUAAAUUAAAUUGAAGACAUAAUAUGAAUUGUGUCAAUAGCAUUGUAGUGUGCAACAUAGCCGUGGUAACGUAUAGAUCAGACGGUUAUGUACGCAGUAUUAGUGUUUGUGCCCGAUAUUUUAUAUGACUAUAUUUGUUGAUUACAACUUUAGCUUGUCCAUGCUCAUAUUGAUUAUAUUACGACUAUAAUUCACCUUUUUUAUAUUGACCUGUGUAGAAUGACAACAGAAGAAUUAUGCCCUAUGAGUGAUAUUGGAAAGACAUUCUAGUGGUACGAUGAUUGGUAUGGAAAGAUCAGUACCAAUGUUACUGGGAAGGUACAAUACUAUUGACUAAU